GAAGAAGAUGUUUAUUUUCUGCUUAAAUUAGAUGUAAAAUCUGAUGUUAUAUUCCCUAUUGGUAAAGAAAAAAUUGAAGAAAUAUAUAGAGAUAUAGAUUAUAGUUGUAAGAAUAAUAUAGGAUUUGAUCCUGUGAGAACUCAUAAAGAAAUAAGAAAAGUAGAAGAUAUUAUAACUAAACAUACGGAUAUACAAGAAGAAAUCUCAGAAGGAUUAUUUAAUGGAUAUAUAACUAAGAAAGGCCAACCUAUAAUCUUUGAAGAACUAUUAAAACAUAAAGAAUAUUUAAAGGUGUUCAAAAGAUUGAAAAAUAUAAAUAUAGGACCUGAUUGACAAUUCCUUAAAGAUAUAAGAUAGAUCUUGUAAAUAAUUUCAUUAAGGGCAAUAUAAUACUUUUAAUAAGAAAGACUAUUGUGAAAAAUAGGAAGAAUCUACCAGCCAUUUUCAAAGUUGUCCCCACGGAUUUGCUUCACUCAAGUUGGUUCAAAAUUAUGUUCAAAAAGAUACCUGUGUCUACAUUUUAUAUAUAUAUAUUUUUAUAUGUUUAAUUUAAGGUGGGCAAAUUAUUUGCAAUCUCGUUAGGUUAUCCUACAUUUUCUACAGUAAAAAAAUAUCAUAGGAUUGUCUUAUUUUGAUUAUCAUAUGUAUAUAUUGUUAUUUAUUAAUCAUUCAAUUUUCAUUUUUAUUUUAUUUAAGCACCGCGUCGAUGACGCUAUGGAUACUGAAUAGUGAAUAAUUUGUUGGUGCAUUAUUUGUCUCCAACAUCGAAGCCUAAUGCAGAUUGCAGUAUUUGUUGCCCAUUUGUAGUGGGCUGCCAUUUGCCCGACUACCUCAAACUAAGCAAACGAUGUUUCAAGUGAUGAAGUCGAACCUUGUCAAGAAAAUGCUGCUACAGUAAUAGGGCCAUGUCGGCCUUGCAGGCGAGAAAAUCUUCAGUGGCGCCCAACGCCAAGGUGGCCCUCUCUUAUAGUGAUGGUGCGACUGUUCGACUAAAGAUUCUCAGUAAUGCGGGGUGACCAGCUAGUGCUCCAAGUAGCAUAAUUUGUCAAGAAAAGGCAAAACAAGAUUAAGGGGUUUUUUGAGACACAUUUUUCAUUUCAUAAAAUGAGAAAUAUAGUCGUUGGUGCACAUUCCUCUUUGAAAUUGUGAUAUGCAAGUCAACAACGACGGCUGUAUAUGGGUCCACUAACGGUCGGAAUUCUUCUACAAAUAGGGAAAUAAUGUGGAACAAACAGCCCCUAAAAAAAUCAGGCUUAAGGAGCCACAAAAACUACAUUUUCUAGCAAGCAAAGUGCCUAGUGUUUGAUGGGCAUUAUAAUCAAUUUUUAAGUAGAUUUUAAUAAAAGUUAAUAAAAUAUGUUGUUAAAAGUUGUGGAUCCCAUGAAUAUGUUGUUAAAAUUAAUUAUUAACUUUGACAUGGAUUAAAAUUUAAAUUUUUAAUUUUUACCAAAAGAGAGUAUCCUUUUCUUUACUCCGAAAUGCAUUUUUGGGCUUCAAAUGCUCAAUAGGACAGCACAUAAAUACACAAAAUUUUAUUUUCGCUAGAAAUGUAACUUUGGAGGGUCGGAGAAGAUUAUAAAGAGUAGGUCGAAUAAUGUAUCCUAAUCUUAAUUUGAAUAAUUUCAACCAUUUAAUGUGAUUUCUAGAAUUUAAUUGUUUUCAUUUACUUGAUAUGAUAUACUUUUAAAAAAUUAGAUCCGACUUUAAAAAUUGCAAAUGUAAAUUUAAUUAAAUUAAAAGAAAUCAUAAUUUAAUCAUCCAAUUUUUACCAAACUUUUCUUUUGCUUUUUUUUUAAUUUAUUUUAAU
rnacentral:lncRNA from 1 species